CAACUUUCAACAACGGAUCUCUUGGUUCUGGCAUCGAUGAAGAACGCAGCGAAAUGCGAUAAGUAGUGUGAAUUGCAGAAUUCAGUGAAUCAUCGAAUCUUUGAACGCACAUUGCGCCCCAUGGUAUUCCAUGGGGCAUGCCUGUUCGAGCGUCAUUU
rnacentral:rRNA from 5 species